CGGCGGACGGGUGAGUAAUGUCUGGGAAACUGCCUGAUGGAGGGGGGAUAACUACUGGAAACGGUAGCUAAUACCGCAUAACGUCGCAAGACCAAAGAGGGGGACCUUCGGGCCUCUUGCCAUCGGAUGUGCCCAGAUGGGAUUAGCUAGUAGGUGGGGUAAAGGCUCACCUAGGCGACGAUCCCUAGCUGGUCUGAGAGGAUGACCAGCCACACUGGAACUGAGACACGGUCCAGACUCCUACGGGAGGCAGCAUG
rnacentral:rRNA from 1 species